UCAAGAUUGAAAUGGGGGACAGUCUGGAAUUUACGAGGAUGAGAUAGAAUGGACAGCCCUGUGACAUCAACUUGGAAGAGGUUGGACUCCAGAUUUGGAUACUCAGAUCCCGGCAACCAGGCUGGUUAAGUUCAUACCACAAGUUGUGUCUUGCCUUCUGAGGGUGGUGGUUCCAAUGUCAAAGCCAAGAGGUAAAGAAGGAAAGAAAAACCCAGUAAGCUCCCUGGCAUACAAGCUAUUCUUCUCUCAGGAGAAAUGGCUUGAGAAAGACAUGUUGAAGAGGAAAAAUACGUUAAGGCUUGCCAAUCAGCUGACUGCAGCAGCAGCAGCAGCAGCAGCAGCAGCAGUGAUGCACAGAUCUGAUCUGCGUUGGCAAUAUACUUGUAAUUCGGACAUGCAUCUCCAGGACACCAGCCUUAGCAGGAAGGGGAGCCAAUCAAGGGGAAACAAUUAUGCAAAUUUAAAAUGUAAACUCUCUGGAGCCCCUGCCACAACCUGAUCUCUAUAAGAAUCAUGAUGUUUCCAAGGCAGCACAUGGUUUGGGGAAAUUGGAGAGAAUACUCCCGAUGGAAAGGGAUAACAUCACAGCUGCCACAACAAUGCUAUCCAGUGAGCAAAUGUCGGAUGUUCAGAGGGACCAAGUCAUCUUGAUUAGAAUCGUGGAGGUAUGAGUUUCAAAGUGGAAUAAUCUCAUAUUUAAUAAAUUUGCAAUCUCUUCACAGUGCACUGGAAAAGGGAACAUGCUUAAAAUAAUUCCAGGGACUUGGCUCCUGGGCUUAUUCAGAUAUCGGAAUGAUUGUCAGGGACUGGUUUAUUGUCUUGCUAGGAUGAAGUAGAUGCUUUUAAAUCUCUUUUCUAUUGUGCAUGUCUGUGGGAACACAUGUUUGCUCUUCUUUUUCACCCAAAAUAUUAAAAAGCUGUUCAAAUUGCCAGAUCAUUUUUUCCAAGAUGACACUUAUUUAUUUACAAAAAUCUUUAAAAUGUUAUUACAAAGAAUGUGUUUAUUGUAGAAAAACCAGAACACAUAGUUAUUUUAAUACAAGAAAGC
rnacentral:lncRNA from 1 species